GCUUAAUUAGUAUAUAUAGUAUUAUAGACUUCCAAUCUUUAGGUCCUAAACAGGAUUAAGCA
rnacentral:tRNA from 1 species